rnacentral:rRNA from 1 species
GUGGGGAAUAUUCCGCAAUGGACGAAAGUCUGACGGAGCAACGCCGCGUGAGUGAUGAAGGUUUUCGGACUGUAAAGCUCUGUUGUUUAGGACGAAAGUGCCUGUUGCAAAUAGUUACAGGUAUUGACGGUACUGAACGAGGAAGCCACGGCUAACUACGUGCCAGCAGCCGCGGUAAUACGUAGGUGGCAAGCGUUGUCCGGAAUUAUUGGGCGUAAAGAGCAUGUAGGCGGGAAUCUAAGUCUGUUGUGAAAAUGCGGGGCUCAACCCCGUAUUGCGAUGGAAACUGGGUUUCUUGAGUGCAGGAGAGGAAAGGGGAAUUCCCAGUGUAGCGGUGAAAUGCGUAGAUAUUGGGAGGAACACCAGUGGCGAAGGCGCCUUUCUGGACUGUGUCUGACGCUGAGAUGCGAAAGCCAGGGUAGCGAACGGGAUUAGAAACCCUGGUAGUC